rnacentral:lncRNA from 1 species
AACGCUUCUCAUUUGAAGUCCAUAGAAAAAGUUAUUCAAGGUGGAAAAAGUGAACAUUUGACUUGGGACUUAGAAAAUUUUCAAAUAUGUUUGAUUUCCCAAACUUCCAACUGAAAAUUCAUCAUGAUACAAGCUUCAAAUGAAAAAGUGUUCAACAUGAAAGUUGUUUCCCUUGACCUCACCAUUCCAAAACAUCCAAGAUCACCUCAUUUGGCCAAAGUAACAUAGGACUAGAGCAUGGGUGCAAGUUGAAGGACCAUUUGGAUGUUUUCCACUUCCAUUUUUCAUACACAAUUGCAUGGCCUUCCAACUUGAAUUCAGCAUGAUGCACACUCAUUUUUGGAUCAGAACACAUCAUUUCAUGGGCCUAGCAC